CAAUUGAGGCGAGCAUGAAGCCCAUGGGUCUGUGACAAAUCCGGUACACACACGCGAAUACCAUAAUGCACGAUUUAUGAACGGAAAAUUCAUACGGAAACGGAGAAGUCAAACGUCCCAGAAUGGCUUCGUGGUCGGAGAAAAUGGUGCAACUGCUGCGUCGAAUGAACAACUUUCAUUUACCAGGUUCCAGUUUAGAGAGCUGUCUACGUUUUGAGGUGGCUGGAGAGCAAGUGGGUUGGGUUCCCCCCAAAGUAGCAUCAAUUCUUGGUCAUUUUCCUUCUGUCUUUAGGCCAUACGGGAGCGCUAUAACCUUAUGCUCCAGUCUUGACACUUUUGAGAGCAGAUCAGUGGCUGUGGAUGAGGUACUGCAGGAGUUGAGGAGAGAGGCAACAUUCACCUGUCUCAUAGGCUGGAGAGAUGAGCAAUACGCAGUGAUGCCCAGAUACUGCGACCCUCCGCUCAUGUAUAUGGAGAGAGCAGCAACAAGUUUAUUUGGAGUGAAACAGUACGGUGUCCAUAUCAAUGGCUACACCCGUGAUUCGAGUGGAAAUCUCAAUAUGUGGCUGGCACGACGGUCUCUGACCAAACAGACAUAUCCAGGAAGAUUGGACAAUAUGGCAGCUGGGGGGCUGGCAGCAGGCUGUAGUGUCAGGCAUACCAUGGUAAAAGAGUGUGAAGAAGAGGCCUGCAUCCCUCCAGGCCUGGCAGAGCAAGCGCGCCCUGUGGGAACUGUGAGCUACACCUACGAAGAUGACGAAGGAGUAUUUCCUGAGUGCCAAUUUGUCUUUGACUUAGAGUUGCCUCUCAAUUUCCAGCCUCACAUUGGAUAUGGGGAAGUGCAAGCUUUUUACUACUACCCCAUUGAGAAGCAUGCAUCGUUUUCAGGUCAGAGAUCUUCUAGUCAGUGAGGAGUUCAAGCCAAACUGUGCCAUGGUGGUUCUGGACUUCCUCAUCAGACAUGCCAUCAUAGAGCCAGACUCAGAGCCCUAUUAUCACGAAUUUGUAGCUGGAUUGCACAGAUCACUAUAAAGACUGACAGAUGGUUAUAGAUUCUGGACAACCUGCAACAGUUUGGUAUUUUUGUUAUCUACCUCCAUUUUUCAUUCUUUUAACUAAUGUGAACUCUUGUUUACUAACACACUUCUAUAAUGUCUGGAAAAGAAAUUAUAUAUUGUACAUGAUCAUCAACAUUUUCAUUCCAAUUUUCAAUCAUAUUUAAUUUUCAUCAACAUAUCAUUGAGAACAGACAUAAAAUGAAGACCCAAGCAAAAUUACCCUAUAAGAAUUUAUUUUUUCAAUACAUUUCAAAUGAGUCUGUCAAAAUCCAAAGAUGCACUGGUAUACAAAAGAUAAUUGAUGCAUCAAAGGCUCUUUUUUUCUUACAAUGAAAUGCAGAAUCUCUCCUAAGAAAUGACUUGCAUUUAAUAAUAUGGCAUUAAACAACUCUCUCAAAAUCAUUUUCGCUACAGUUUUCCUUCUUUAUUUCUUUUAAAACUUUUAAAUUCUAAGAUACUAGAAUUUGUAAAAUAUGCAAAAAAUUAUGUAGUAUAGCCAGUAGAAUUUCACAAAAAAUAAAAAUAAAAGGAAGUACAGGAGAGGAGGUGAACAAUAAAAAUAAAACAAAUGGAGUGAAAAUGGAGGGAGUUUCUCAUUUAUACAGUGAGAAAUAAACAAAUAUUACAUUUAUUUCUGCACACCAAAUAAAAACCUGUCAUGCAGGUAAGAGAAAUAUGUGAAAAUUAGAUGUUUACGCAAAACACUGUCACCUAGUAGAAAACUUGUAUAUAUUGCCAAAAUUGAACAGUGUCUGAAAGUCAACAUAUAGAACUGAAGUCACAUCUGUAGUUUUGCUUUGAGCUCCAAUAGUGCUGAUUAACCCUGUUUUUUUUUGUUUUUUUUCAUUACAGUACAUCAGCAAGCACAUAAAAUAAUCACAAAAAGGUGAAUUUGUAUCAUCAUUGCAUUUUACUUUGAAUUUUAUAGGCAAAUUGCAUAUAUAUAGAAUUCUUAUUGGAAAAAGGAAUUGUAAGACUACAACUACUUCCAACUCUUUUUAACCAGAGACUAAGUGUAAUUUUGACAGGACAGGAGGGCACAAA